GAGGCUGUUCUGGUAGGAUCCAGCCUUACUGUAUAAUUGAGCCUACAGACACACAGGGAAAUUAUUUUGAUCUCAAGCAUCUUAAUCUGAUCUCAAAUAAUAUUUGACUAGGAAUGAGAAUUACAGCUUGGGUGCUAUGGCACACUAAAUUAAUUUCUUGCUACGGAUAACACAAACAUACUCUCCAGAUUCUGCUUAUUUCUAUCUUGACAUUUUAAUUUGAUGUUCUGCCAUGAUGAACAAUUUGCCUUAGAAUUCUCCUGCCUUAAAAUAAAGGCUGUUCAAAAGUUUAAGACUUUAUCUUUUGAGGGCAUUGCUAGCUACAUUAUAUUAUGUGUUGCUUUGACCCUUGUCUUGGACAUUCCCAGAUGUCAAUUUUAACUGGCAAAUCAUGACAUUACUCUUGUGUUGCAUCUAAGCCAUUCUGUACCACAAUGAAGAACAUUUGCUUCUCAAGAAAAGAGAGAAACAAACGGAUUUAUACUUUCUCUAAAGAAAACUAUUGCCGGACCUCUAAAUAUCCAAAUCCAAUACAUUGCUCAUACUUGAUUUACAGCAUUCCAAACACAGACUAUUGAGGAAGUUAAACUUCAGUGGUCAUACUCCUCCCUUUGUCUUCUAUUCCUGUCUGGUGUCUCAAGUGUGUAAUGUCAGAAUAUUCCCAGUAAGAUGAGCCUCCCCACACUGCUGUGGAUCUGGAAUGGGAUUGCAGGGUUUGAUUGGGACCUGAAUCGAAGAUGUCUAUCUGCUUCUCAGAAAUGGGUUUGCCCAUGUCAGCCUCUUCCAAUUAAUAGAAUUGGUCAUAAAUAGCUUAAAAGUGCUUUUAAAAAAAAUCAAUAUCUAUUAUGUUGGGGUUUGGGGUUUUUUUUUUCUCCAGUUAAUGGAGCCAAAUCAUGUCCUCUCUGUUUCUUACCUGAGCAAUGAACUCAGAGGGCUUUGCCUGAUUAUACACUUCAGGCUUUUGCUCAUUAUAAGGAUAUGGUUUGUAAUUCUGUUUUAACACAAAUUUUAGCUGCCCUAUCUGAAUGACUUUCUGGUAGUUAUACAGCUCUUAUAGUGCUGAGCAGAACCCUGUAGUCCCAAUAACUAUUGACUUUUCAGUAUUUAUUGUAAAGGGGAUCUAGUACAAGGAGCUUAAUUGGAAUCAAAUUUCAAGUGCUCUCCAUCUUGGAAGAAGGUAGUGUUCCCAUAUUGCACAUGUUAGCUAGGAGAGGUGAGGUGCUAGUAAGGGCUGUGGGGGGAGUGGGGGGGAAGUUAAACACCUCAGUUAUAGUGGUUACAAAACAGCUGAGAAACAAAAAUGUUAAAAUUGUCCUCCUCAAGAACUGUAAGGUUGCAUUUUGUAUUUACUUCUCCCCGAAUCAUCAUUUCUACUAGUAGUUUUAGUAAAUAUGUGGAGUGAGCUAUUAAUUUUUAUAAUUGAAAAUCAUAACAGUUAAACUCAGUAGAAGUUUAUGUUUACAAGAUAUACCGAGUUCUUUGAUUUACAUGGUUUAUGGCUACUCAAAUUCACCUUUUAAAUUUGCAGCAGUACUUUUAUUUAAUCCAUAGAUAAGGUGUGCUACAGCUUACUUGAAUAGUGGUGUGUGCUGAACUUGAAGAACUUAAUGAAAUGAUGGAAAAAUUAUCAAGCAAAGAUACUGUAGUACAGUGGAAAACUGCCAUGCCUGACUCAAAGGAAGAAUUUCUCAGCACAAUUUGGACAUCUAGUUAAAAAAUAAAUUUAAAUUUACUCUCGUGCAUUUCUUUUGAUUGUUUCUUCAAUAUAACUGACCAAAAUCCUCUAUAAUAUGUUGAAAAUGGAUUUCAACUUGCACACCAAUAUUCAGCUUUUAUGGGUGUCCUGCUGGCAUUGGAGGAGGAGCCAUGAAAUGGAGUUUUAAUAAUCAUUUGAUCACUCAUUUAUAGCAGUUGCUUAAAUGUCUGUAUUGAUAAGGUGUUUGACAUAAGAAGCAAGUUACCAGAUUCCUAGCAGUUCCAAAACUCGAGCAAAAUACUUUACUGUGUUAUUAUAUACUUAAUUUCACUUUAUUAACAACUUAGUUUACUAAACUCAACUUAAAAUUUUACUAUUGCAUUCAACAGAGUUUGCAUUUUUUCAAAGUGUUUUCUAGCAAUUGUUUAUUUUUAAAUCUCAGCUUCUGUAGUCUGAUUAUUAAAGAAUGAAAACUGCAUUGCUUAAACCUUUCCAAAAUAAACUCGAAGUAGAAGAUCACCGCAUGAUUUUGGUGACUCUGUAUAAAAACCUGACCACUUUUUGUCCCUUCUAUGUUUGGACAUUAAACCCAUUUCUAUAAUUUGAACUCCGCAGAAAAAAAAAUACAGAGGGCACUCUUAUUAUAAGGCUAGGAGAGAAAUAAAUGUGAAAUGCUGAGCAAAAAGCCUUAAACCUCUCAAAAACAUUUAGUACCAAGACCCAAAGACCCAACUGAAUGAAUGUAUUUUCAGCAAGAAUUGUUAGCCAAAAGUGCUGGUGGCCCAUCCAUAGAACAGCAAGGAGCUCUCCUAGAAAUCUGUCAUCAGCAAUCUUUGAUCAUGCAUGACUUGAGGUGGAGUAUGUGUGUGAUGAAGGAUUGCUUGUAAGGUGGAGGUUGUCAGUGGAGUUCUGUCAUUCGUGUGACCUCUGUGAGUAGCUCAGAGCCUUAUAGAAAGAGUGUACCACGUUGUGUUCCUGUUUUUUCUAAAACAGCAACAAAAAGAAGUUAGAGCUUCUGUUAACUUAGAACUUGAAUGAAGCUGUUGUAGUCUAUUGGCUUAAAUUGUCCUUCGAAACCCAGAGCAGUUCUGUUGAGCAUGUAUUAGUUGAUAAAAUAUGUAGAGUAGGGAGAAAAAAAUCAUUUGUACUAAAGGGAAAACAUAAGAAAUGAUGAAAAUAGUCAAGGUGGAUCUGCGAUACUUGGUAUUGAUCAGGAACUUCUGAAAUUUUAGAACAGGAGAAUCCCUCUGAAGAAAUGUUGUUUUAACAACUUGGAGGUUACCAGAAGCUCUGAAAGACAGUUCAGAAUAUAUUUUCUGAUGUCCAGAAAUCUGCAAGUGUCAAUUUUGUAUUUUAACUCCUUCCUUUUACCUGACUAUCAGGGAAGCGUGGUUGAGGCUGACCUGACAUGUCAUGAUGUCGACUUGCUAGGUGGGGUUCGCAGGGGACAUUAACCUUGGAGUUCUAGUACUUGGAAAGGAGCAGAGGAGUUGGAAAAGCUUACUAGGCUAGAGGAGCAUUCCAGGUGCAGUCAUUGUUUACCAUGGGACUGAAUAGCAUGCCAGUUGUGACAACAUCUGCAGAAGAAAUGUGCCUGAUGAUGAAGGAUAGACACUGUGAUGGGCACUAAAGCAUGGACUUGAAGUGUGCACUCUGGUGGCAGGUACUCCUAUCUGAUCCCCUGGUCUGGUGUGUCUGAGGAGGGCUUAGGUGCUGUGUGUCUUAGCUGUGGUUUUCUCCAUUUAUUAAUUUCAGUGUUGAUUGAAAUGUUUGUCUUUAUUUAUAGCAUAUCCAACAGCUGUGUUGCCACAGAGAAGGUAAGUUUAGAGCUGGGGGUGAAGGGGUUGAUAAGCUCUGGAUAGUUAAUCUGUUUGUUUUUUUUUUUUAAAUACAAUCCUUAAAGUUUAUAGACAGAUUUUGGAUGUUUUGAGUAUUUUCUUGGAGUGUCCUGAUGCUUAAGAUCAGACAGAAAACCAUUGUAAGCAAAAUCAAAAGAAAUUUUUCAUGAAGAAAAAUUAAUUCUGAAUGUUGGUUUGGGAGCUGAUGGUGAAACAAAUGGGAAGUUGUGAUCUUGGACAUUAGACAGCUGCUAAAGCCAUUACUAAAUAAACAGAGCAUUUAUUAUAUAUUUUAUGGGGAGGAGAAGAGAUUAAUUUGAGAAUUAGAUUUUUAACCAUUCUUGCAGUGUUUAUUUGUCCUGUAAGAUACAGACACAGCAAAUUCACCAGUCUGUUCAGUGAGAUAUUUUUCCUAAUUAUUUUCCUGAUUGAGAAUUAGUGUUAAUGUCACACUUGUUGCUGGAAGCUAUUGAGCUGGUCAUGCUCAUUUUUCUCUGCUGAGCUCAGUGAGUUUUGCUCUCCACUCUGUGAUGGAGGAUUGCUGGUUGCUGUUAGCUGUGCUUUAAAGACAAGAAUUCCUGGGUUUGGUCAAGUUUAGGACAUGUUUGUUCUAAAACCUAAUAAAACCAUUAGCUAAUAUAUAUCUCACUUCUCUGAUGUGGGUUAUAAGGGACUUGCCUGUCAAUACAUCUGAAUUAUUUAAUUACAUCUGGAUGUCUUCCUUAGCUAACAAAGCAAACAGUCUCAGAUAUGCUUUGCUAGGCAGAAUCAUGUAUAGACAGCAAGGUUUUAUUAUCUGUGAGGAAAAAUGCAUUAUAAGAACAUGAAAUCUAGAUGACCUUGACUGAAAACAAAGAAAUAAAAUUUUAUGAGAUACAGUAUAUUAAUGCCCUAACUUGGAUGUAGGAAUUCCUGAGCAGUAAUUUUGUUUUAAGUGCCAUUAAAGCUCUGUGUGCAAUCUGUACUUCUGCAGGAAAUGUGAAAUAUCCCAGGGACUGGCUGCCUACCUGAAGGACCCCAAUAUCUGCCUUUGAUGGCAAGUGACCUGAGCAUUGCUGUGCCCAUGGGAGCAGUUCAGGUGGGUGUGUUACCUGUAUUUGCUGACUUUUCUUGUUCUCUGCAUUGUACCAGAAACUGCACGUGUCUUGUACAAUCUGUUUGGCCCUCUUGUAAUGUCUGGUUUUCCUAAUAAACAUCUUUUGAAGUCUUUGCUUUGUGGCUGAUUUCCAAGGCUCCAAGUUCCCAUGUGUUAGGUACAUCCUUCUGAUGUAUUCUUUGGAUCAUGCAGGGAGGAGAAGAGAAACUCAUAAAUGCUUCUUUUGAAUAAAAAUCUUAUUUGAAGCUGCUGUGUCCACACAAGACCUUCACUAGUAUUUUCUAUGUUUUGAAUAUUUUCUUGGAGUGUCCUGAUGCUUAAGAUCAGAACAGGGUGGUGUGAUGUUGCAUUCAAUCAAAAUUCAGUGAAUUUCUCCUAUUAUGGAAAAAGUUUAUCCUGUGAAUAACCAACAGAAAACCAUUGUAAGCAAAAUCAAAGAAAUUUCUCAUGGAGAAAAAUGAAUUCUGAAUGUUGGUUUGGGAGAUGAUGGUGAAACAAAUGGGAAGUUGUGAUCUUGAGCUUUUAUUCCUGUGAAGUCCCAAAUCCUAUGGGGAAACUUCAGCCCCAUGAAGGUGAACUACCUUGUGCUUACAUGAAUACCAAGAGUUGGCUUCAUCCUGCCUUGCUGGUUUUUGAUUCAAAGGAGGACUGAGAAGAGAGUAGAAUGCACCCAAUGGUGUGUUUUCAAUAUUCCUCCAUUUGGUUCUUUCCAGGGAGGAUGGAAGGCAGCUUGUGUGCCCAUGCAGAUCUGGUUUCAAGUGGUGAAAAUCUGUGUGCAUGUGUGUAUUGACUUCAAAAUCCCUUUUUUUUUUCUAUGGCACGUCAUGGAGAUCAGUUUGGUUUUGUUUAUCAGUUCAGCUGGCAGGCAUUACCAGAAUCCCUCAGAAAUACAUUGGUUUUUCCUAUGCUUAAUCCUUUUUACAUGCAGCAUUGUACUAAUCUUGCUGAAUAGCAGGAAUGUAGUUUCCUGACAACAGCUACUGCAGAAGUGUAAAUUAAGAAGCUGGCAUGAGGUUAUUUUGGAGACUUGGCCAUGAAAACAGAAUUAGAGUUAAUCCUAUAACAAAUAUGUUUGGCAACUUCAAAAAACAUCCUAAACCAAACAUGUUUGGCAACUUAAAAUCCAAAAUGAUGUUUGAUUCAGCUCUAACCCUCCUCAGACAAACAAAACCUUCUCAAAUGUCUCAUUUUGGCCCAUUGUGGUGUCAGUGCUGUGUGUGCAGUCCCUGGGCACAGGCCCUGGUGUGGCCUGGCAGG